CUACAGCCAGUGAGCAAUGGCAGCGCGUAUUUUCGAAAUUAAAUGGCAGAGAGCGGAACGUCCACCUGAAGACGACCAGGAUCUGACAUUACCUCUAAAGAAACAACGGUUGUUGGCGAAGAAGUUGUCGGAUAAAGAAAGGGACAGAACUCGGAUUAACAUUGGCCUUGCAUUUCCAUGGUGGAGAGCACUGUGAGAGCUAAAGGGGCUACAAUCUGACUCGGAGCUAGCUCUUCUUCUCCUGGACAGGCAGUGCACAACAGCGAACCUAGCGGUGAAACGAUUUCGCUUAUUGCCCCUUUAAGCGAUGUGUAUGGUGGGGGGCUGGAGCUGUCCCCCUCUGCUGAAUCAUCUGGGUCCGAGGCUCCUCCCUCCUCUCCUGAUAGGCUGAGGUUGUCCGGUGUGUUUUCCUCGUCGCCGUCGACAUCCCCGAGGGAACC